GACGUAGGGCGCGAGCGUUGUCCGGAUUUAUUGGGCGUAAAGAGCUCGUAGGCGGCUUGUCGCGUCGUCCGUGAAAACUUGGGGCUCAACCCCAAGCUUGCGGUCGAUACGGGCAGGCUAGAGUUCGGUAGGGGAGACUGGAAUUCCUGGUGUAGCGGUGAAAUGCGCAGAUAUCAGGAGGAACACCGGUGGCGAAGGCGGGUCUCUGGGCCGAUACUGACGCUGAGGAGCGAAAGUGUGGGGAGCGAACAGG
rnacentral:rRNA from 1 species